CAGUUGUCAAUCCUUGCUAC
rnacentral:miRNA from 1 species